UUUAAUAUUAGUAUAUUUUAAUAGCUUAUUUAGAGUAUAAUAUU
rnacentral:tRNA from 1 species